rnacentral:rRNA from 1 species
ACUCAAAUGAAUUGACGGGGCCCCGCACAAGCGGCGGAGCAUGUUGCUUAAUUCGAUGCGACGCGAAGAACCUUACCUGGGCUUGACAUGCAGGGUGAAACCCGUGAAAGCGGGCGCUCUUCGGAGCCUGCACAGGUGGUGCAUGGCUGUCGUCAGCUCGUGCCGUGAGGUGUUGCCUUAAGUGGCGCAACGAGCGCAACCCCUGUCCUUAGUUGCCAGCGGAUCAUGCCGGGAACUCUAGGGAGACUGCCGGUGCCAAACCGGAGGAAGGUGGGGAUGACGUCAAGUCAUCAUGCCCCUUACGUCCAGGGCUGCAAACAUGCUACAAUGCCCGGUACAAAGGGCUGCGAUCCCGUAAGGGGGAGCGAAUCCCAGAAAGCCGGGCUCAGUUCGGAUCGGGGUCUGCAACCCGACCCCGUGAAGUUGGAGUCGCUAGUAAUCGCAGAUCAGCAUUGCUGCGGUGAAUACGUUCCCGGGGCUUGUACACACCGCCCGU